rnacentral:rRNA from 1 species
AGUGAACGCUGGCGGUAGGCCUAACACAUGCAAGUCGAACGGCAGCACAGUAAGAGCUUGCUCUUACGGGUGGCGAGUGGCGGACGGGUGAGGAAUACAUCGGAAUCUACUUUUUCGUGGGGGAUAACGUAGGGAAACUUACGCCAAUACCGCAUACGACCUACGGGUGAAAGCAGGGGAUCUUCUGACCUUGCGCGAGUGAAUGAGCCGAUGUCGGAUUAGCUAGUUGGCGGGGUAAAGGCCCACCAAGGCGACGAUCCGUAGCUGGGCUGAGAGGAUGGUCGGCCGCACUGGAACUGAGACACGGACCAGACUCCUACGGGAGGCAGCAGUGGGGAAUAUUGGACAAUGGGCGCAAGCCUGAUCCAGCCAUACCGCGUGGGUGAAGAAGGCCUUCGGGUUGUAAAGCCCUUUUGUUGGGAAAGAAAAGCAGCAGGUUAAUACCCCGCUGUUCUGACGGUACCCAAAGAAUAAGCACCGGCUAACUUCGUG